rfam:Schistosoma rodhaini strain Burundi genome assembly, scaffold: SROB_scaffold0010679
AUCCAGCUGACUAGUCUCAAAUAGGACGAGACGCAUGUCCUGAAU